GUCUCCCAGAAAACAAAAGCUUCUGUUGGGUGUCCUUUUCGCCAUUGCCGAAAGCCCAAAGGGAGAGCAUUGGUCCUCUUCUUGCAGACAAAUAAGCAGAUUAGAUCAUAUGGGUUCAAUCUUAUCCAAGAAAACAAUUAGUUUCCACUGUUUUCAUCAAAUAUUAUAAUGAAAUCACAUGUGAUGAAGGCUGUCCUGGUUUUAUCCCAGUAUUAAAUGGCUAAACUUUGUCUUAGUUGACUUGAAAUUUGAGCUCCGGCCAUCCAACCCCCUCUCCCUUCUCCUUCCUUCAUCUCCCCCCAUGGCCAGUUCUUGCAGAUCUUGCUUGGUUUGGGUCCUCUGCUUCUUCCUCUGCCGUUGUUUGGUGUUCGUGGAGCCUUCCCGCAGAGUCUUCCUGUAUCCACAGUCUCAGGAGAUAUCGUCCAUAGUUAGCAAGCAAUACAGGACUGCAUACCACUUCCAACCACCCAAGAACUGGAUCAAUGGGUCAACUCUAACAAACCGGUAUCAGAGCUUGGUUUCAGAAUCUUUUCGCAACGAUGAUAAUAACAAAGAUCGUUGUCGAGAAAUUCGACAAAAAUGUCACAUUCGGCAUGUGGAAGCUUAAGAUGGAGGUCAUUCUGAUUCAAGACGGAGUUGAUUUGGCACUAUAGGGAGUUGAGAACAUUCCAGAUAUACGUUAAAUGAAGAUCUUGUGACAAUAGAUAAGAAGGCUCGAUCAAGCAUUAUUCUAAAUAUCUCUGAUGAGGUUUUACGAGAGGUAGCUACGGAGAUUACGGCUAAGAGCAUGCGGGACAAGCUUAAAGCUUUGUAUAUGAAGAUGACAAUGAAGAAUCGUCUCUACUUGAAACAGGGUU